AUUGAACGCUGGCGGCAUGCUUUACACAUGCAAGUCGAACGGUAACAGGCCUUCGGGUGCUGACGAGUGGCGAACGGGUGAGUAAUGCAUCGGAACGUGCCCAGAGGUGGGGGAUAACGCAGCGAAAGCUGUGCUAAUACCGCAUGUGAUCUGAGGAUGAAAGCGGGGGACCAGGCAGCAAUGUUUGGCCUCGCGCCUUUGGAGCGGCCGAUGUCAGAUUUGGUAGUUGGUGGGGUAAAGGCCUACCAAGCCGACGAUCUGUAGCUGGUCUGAGAGGACGACCAGCCACACUGGGACUGAGACACGGCCCAGACUCCUACGGGAGGCAGCAGUGGGGAAUUUUGGACAAUGGGCGCAAGCCUGAUCCAGCAAUGCCGCGUGCGGGAAGAAGGCCUUCGGGUUGUAAACCGCUUUUGUACGGAACGAAAAGGCUCUGGCUAAUACCUGGGGCUGAUGACGGUACCGUAAGAAUAAGCACCGGCUAACUACGUG
rnacentral:rRNA from 1 species